rnacentral:rRNA from 1 species
AUUGAACGCUGGCGGCAGGCUUAACACAUGCAAGUCGAGCGGAGAUGAGGUGCUUGCACCUUAUCUUAGCGGCGGACGGGUGAGUAAUGCUUAGGAAUCUGCCUAUUAGUGGGGGACAACAUUCCGAAAGGAAUGCUAAUACCGCAUACGUCCUACGGGAGAAAGCAGGGGAUCUUCGGACCUUGCGCUAAUAGAUGAGCCUAAGUCGGGUUAGCUAGUUGGUGGGGUAAAGGCAUACCAAGGCGACGAUCUGUAGCGGGUCUGAGAGGAUGAUCCGCCACACUGGGACUGAGACACGGCCCAGACUCCUACGGGAGGCAGCAGUGGGGAAUAUUGGACAAUGGGGGGAACCCUGAUCCAGCCAUGCCGCGUGUGUGAAGAAGGCCUUAUGGUUGUAAAGCACUUUAAGCGAGGAGGAGGCUACUGAGACUAAUACUCUUGGAUAGUGGACGUUACUCGCAGAAUAAGCACCGGCUAACUCUGUGCCAGCAGCCGCAGUAA